rnacentral:rRNA from 1 species
UACGUAGGGUGCGAGCGUUAAUCGGAAUUACUGGGCGUAAAGCGUGCGCAGGCGGUUUUGUAAGCCAGAUGUGAAAUCCCCGGGCUUAGCCUGGGAAUGGCAUUUGGGACUGCAAGGCUUGAGUGCGGCAGAGGGGGAUGGAAUUCCGCGUGUAGCAGUGAAAUGCGCAGAUAUCGGGAGGAACACCAAUGGCGAAGGCAGCUCGCUGGGACGGUACUGACGCUGAGACGCGAAAGCGUGGGGAGCAAACAGG